GGCCCCGCACAAGCGGUGGAGCAUGUGGUUUAAUUCGAUGAUACGCGAGGAACCUUACCAGGGCUUAAAUGUAGUGGGACAGGUCUAGAGAUAGACCCUUCUUCGGACUCAUUACAAGGUGCUGCAUGGUUGUCGUCAGCUCGUGCCGUGAGGUGUCAGGUUAAGUCCUAUAACGAGCGCAACCCCUAUCGUUAGUUGCCAGCGAGUAAUGUCGGGAACUCUAACGAAACUGCCAGUGCAAACUGUGAGGAAGGUGGGGAUGACGUCAAAUCAUCACGGCCCUUACGUCCUGGGCUACACACGUGCUACAAUGGCCGGUACAGAGAGCAGCCACUUCGCAAGAAGGAGCGAAUCUUCAAAGCCGAUCUCAGUUCGGAUCGGGGUCUGCAACUCGACCCCGUG
rnacentral:rRNA from 1 species